UCAACUUUCAUCUGUCCACUGUUUCUCUGCCAAGCUUCUGAGUGUCUUGUGUCAGGCUGGGGUGACACAGUGACCAAUAUGACUCUGGUGACCCCAUGGUCUGAAAUGAAGGACUCCAACAUAUUCGCUCCUGGGAUACAAGCUCUGGUGAGAAAGGAAAACCUAGUAUCUACACCAAAGUGUGCAACUACCUGGACUGGAUUCAGCAGACCACUGACGCCAACUAGGCAUCUUUCCUGAGCCACCCUCUCAUGAUCAACUUCACUUUUGUACUGUGCCUUAGAUGGAGAAGAAGCUGUCAUUUUCUUCAAGAUGCAGUCACUGGUAAACUGCUCAUUUUCAAAAAGCAAGUUCCUAUGUAUGGCAGCAACCAUAAUUAAACUCAAUGACUUUUUUUAAAGAAACCAAUAUAAGGAAGCUUCUUUGGAAAAAGGAUUUCAUCAGGAUAAGAGAAGAAGAAGGUAAUAUGGAUGAAAACCAUCACAAAACACCAGACUUCACAGAAUUAAAAGUGAUAUACACUUCCCAUCUUUGGAGGGUGCUAAGUCCACAAUCAAGGCAACAG